GAAAAUCGCAUGUACCAUGCAUCCGAAAUUCUUGAAAUAAGCAAUAGACAGGGACAUAAUAGAAUUAGCCGAAAUCAAGCUUUGUCAUCCUCUCAAAUACAUACCGAUGAAGGAUAUAACGGUGUCAGCGCAACAGAAUCAGCAAUACAAACUAGACAUACUCGUAGAGCUAAAUUGUCUCAAGGUGUCGACUCACAGACCAAUGGAAGAAACAUGCAGUACGCUGAGGUUUCGUUUGAUGUCAAACAUCCAACACAUCGUUUUAUUAUUCAUGGCAAUGAUGAUAGAACAGUUUAUUCAGAAAUUGAUCAUUCAAUCAGAGCAGAGCCUUUACCGUCGUCAAGUAGUGAAGGUGAAGAUAACUGAAUGUAUUUUGGCGGCAGUAAUGACUUUCCUCCAUAGUGCAGUGCAUAGUUAAGGAUAUAACAUUAUUCCUGUGAUCGUUGGUAAAAGAAUAAAGAGAACCUUCAGCAAAUCAAAACAAAACACGUUUUUAUUAUUUGUGUUAUUUACUACUUAACUAUAACAAUUCAUGAAAACAUUGGAUUAUUUGUUAUGUACAGAUAGUGGACAUAUUGUUGAAACAUUUUUCCUCAUUUGUCUCUUUAUGUACACUAGGUUUUUUGGCUCUUCUGGUUAUAUUUGACAUAUAAAUUGUGCUUAAAAGAAAAGAAAAAAGAUAUUUCCACUGGACAUCUUAAGCAUCAUGAAGGGGCCCGAGUGGUCUAGGUAAUCCAACUCUUGUAUCACUGAGAAUGUUUGUUUAUUGAACUAGGAUUGUCGUUGUCCUGCCGAUUGUCUCUCCUGACAUUCCUGCGUUCUCAGUCGAUAGAACUUAACCUCCACGAAAAAGCAAAUAGUGCUGAAAGUGGUGUUACACACCAAGCAAUCAAUAAAUCAAUCAAUCAGUAAAAGAAAACUUAUUUUGAAAAUGCAAAAGAAACAUACCUUGACUUGAAUGUAACUUAAGACCUAUUUCAGUUUGCUUGGCUGAAAUUAUUGUUUAAAGCAUAAACAUGGUUAUAUGGUGUGUAAUUUUGACAAUAUAUAUAUAUAUAUAUAUAUAUAUAUAUAUAUAUAUAUACACGUAUACCUAACAACAAAAUUAUUUUCAUUUACCUGUUUUUAAAGUUUUUGCAAAUGGCUGAUAUUUUUGUUCGAGCAUAUUGUUUUUCUUUAAUUGUUUAACAUUUCUUACUGAUAUAACAUGUUACUUUUAUUAUUCCUCCCUUAGUUUAUUUAUUUUGUAUUUACAUUGUGUCAUAGGUCAAAUUUAUUUGUUCAGUGUAUGUUCAAUGGUGUUAAUAUGUCCUUUGAUUGAGUUAAGCUAUUUCAGUUGAUAUUUUAUAGUGUGUCUUUCUAUGUUUCGAUGUUACACUAUUGUUUCAGAUAAAGGGUGAAGGUUUGGUACCAUUAAAACGUUUAAACCCGCUGCAUUUGUUUGCACCUGUCCUAAGUCAGGAAUCUGAUGUUCAUUAGUUGUCGUUUGUUGAUGUGGUUCAUAAGUGUUUCUCGUUUCUCGUUUUUGUUUAGAUUAGACCGUUGGUUUUCCCGUUUGAAUGGUUUUACACUAGUAAUUUUUUGGGUCCCUUUAUAGCUUACUGUUCGGUGUGAGGCAAGGCUCCGUGUUGAAGACCGUACUGUGACCUAUAAUGGUUAACUUUUAUAAAUUUUGACUUGGAUGGAGAGUUGUCUCAUUGGCACUCAUACCACAUCUUCUUAUAUCUAUAUAUAUCUAUACUGUAGCACUUAACGUAUCAAUCACUAUCCCAAUGUUGGAUAAACCCUACAAAUAAUAACAUAAUUUGAACAAAUUGUAUAUCUAAGAUAAGAAAUCAAAACAUUUCCAGAUAUACCAUUUUUCUCCCUCAAUAAGGUCUUGGGUUCUCUUUGGUUUCUCUAGUAUUCCCCGCCUUCUAUAAAGUUGCACCCUGAUAUAACUAAACGUUCCUUCCGUUUCUAUUUCACGUAUUCGUUACAUGACAAGUAUCCCAAAACAAAGAAAAGAUGAGAUAUACAUAGAAAGAUUAAUCUAACAUGUCUUUCAAGAUAUUACACAGGUGUUGUUUGUAUAAAAUAUGCUGUAAAUAAAUAAUUUUCGAUAA